AGAGAGCGACGGGCGAUGUGUACACACUUCAGAGCUCAUUUCAUAUAAACCUUUUAUUUCUAUUUUACUACUAAAUCCACCUUCAUAAUAUUUAUACAAAUAUUAAUCUGUAAUAAAUUAAUUUUAUUGUAACCCACUACUCCCAUAUUCAUCGGCUGCACCUUGACCUGAUGUCACAGCAAUAAGCUAAUUAGAUAAUAUUUUUUAAAAAUAAUCUGACAACGGCGGUAUACAAACUGAAAACAAAAAUAUGUAAAUUUAAUCGUGGAAUAUCGAUUCAAGAGCAGGUUCCUCUAGUAAGAAUGAAGUACCGCCAAAUUCUUUAGGUUUAAAAAUAUCUCUACUACCCAGGCACUUAAUAAUAAAGAAUAAUAGGGUAUCUAAUCCUAGUCUAAACCUUUAUUUCAAAAGAUAUAAAGUUUUUUAUAAUUAUUAUAGUACAUAUUUAAAAAUUUCACCCUUAAAUAAAUAGUUAAAAAAUUAUUUUAAAAAAAACAAACUCUACUUAAUUCCACCAAAAGAUUUUAUUAGACCCCAUCGUAUAACC
rnacentral:rRNA from 1 species